UGCCUAUUGAAGUAUGACGGGCAGCCGACGGAACACUUAGGCCGAUGACAGUGUGGGUGGAGAUGGAGAUUGAUGUUAUGAAACAGGGAACAAACACGACUCUCCCCAACCCCACCCCUGCCCAGAUAACUCAGGCUAGCAUGCUUGCUCCUUCAUCAGCAAUGCAGCUGCCUUCACUGAUGCAACCAAAUUCUUUUGCUUACAACAAUCUCCCUUCUCAUCCAGUUCCUAUACUGAGACGAAGAUGAGCUUGUCUCUCUUUUGAAUGGGAUUGUGAUCCCCCACAGGAAUGAAUGUAUGGUGUCAGGAAUGCUGAGCUUUCACCAUCCAGACAAACCAGAAUGGAUUGGAUCAAAAGGUUGCUCAGCAUCUCUGACACUCUCGCCUACACAUCCCUGAUCCAUGCUUCUUUGAGCUUUCCUUCUAUCUCUCUUUAGCGCAUCCUUUCCGUUUCCUUUCUAUCGCUCAUUGAUGGCACUCUGAAUAUGCUUCAGGCCUGCAAGAGUUCUGAUGCUUCCAGUUCCCUGAGAAUCUCUUCCUUCCCCUGUGUACCUUUGCCUUGUGUCAAUUAUAAAUUCAUCUGUCCCUUUGCCAUUUAACUCUUUUGUGGCUGAAAGGAUUGUCAACCUAUUUGAAGCCGCUCACCUAAGAAAUGCUUUCAUGAUCUCCUCUUGCCACUACAAUAAACGCUAUCUAUCUG
rnacentral:lncRNA from 1 species